AUUGAACGCUGGCGGCAGGCUUAACACAUGCAAGUCGAGCGGAGAGAGGUAGCUUGCUACUGAUCUUAGCGGCGGACGGGUGAGUAAUGCUUAGGAAUCUGCCUAUUAGUGGGGGACAACAUUUCGAAAGGAAUGCUAAUACCGCAUACGUCCUACGGGAGAAAGCAGGGGAUCUUCGGACCUUGCGCUAAUAGAUGAGCCUAAGUCGGAUUAGCUAGUUGGGGGGGUAAAGGCCUACCAAGGCGACGAUCUGUAGCGGGUCUGCGAGGAUGACCCGCCACACUGGGCCUGGGACACAGCCCAGACUCCUACGGGAGGCAGCAGUGGGGAAUAUUGGACAAUGGGCGCAAGCCUGAUCCAGCCAUGCCGCGUGUGUGAAGAAGGCCUUAUGGUUGUAAAGCACUUUAAGCGAGGAGGAGGCUACUUUAGUUAAUACCUAGAGAUAGUGGACGUUACUCGCAGAAUAAGCACCGGCUAACUCUGUGCCAGCCGCCGCCGUAACAC
rnacentral:rRNA from 1 species